rnacentral:rRNA from 1 species
AUGGAUCUCCAAGUGGCGGCGCCAUGGUUCCCUGUGGAGAAUAGGCAGGGAGAUGAGACAGGAGGGAGAAGGGAAGAAGAAACGAGAGACAUGGAAGGAGAAGGCGGCCCUGCUGGUGCUCGUCUUGGCCGGUUCGGGCGGCGGGCGGAGCAGCUCCGGCGGUGGCGAGGUUCGGCAGCGACGGGGAUGACCGGCUGGGCUGCUACUCCGGUUGGUGUAGCAGCGAGGCAAAGGAGCUCGUGCUCCUUGGCAACGGGAGGCUCGGGGCAUGAGCAGGGGAGGCUGGGCUUGGAGGCGAAGCGCUCGAUCCACUCGGGAUCGAGAUGCUCGUGCGGCUGCACGGAAAACCAGGGAUCUGGUCGGAGGCUGUGGUAG